rnacentral:rRNA from 1 species
GAGUUUGAUCCUGGCUCAGGACGAACGCUGGCGGCGUGCUUAACACAUGCAAGUCGAACGAUGAAGCUGGAGCUUGCUCCGGUGGAUUAGUGGCGAACGGGUGAGUAACACGUGAGCAAUCUGCCCUUGACUCUGGGAUAACUGCGGGAAACUGUAGCUAAUACCGGAUACUUUCCUCGGUGGGCAUCCACUGGGGAAGAAAGAAUUUCGGUCAAGGAUGAGCUCGCGGCCUAUCAGCUAGUUGGUGAGGUAAUGGCUCACCAAGGCGACGACGGGUAGCCGGCCUGAGAGGGUGACCGGCCACACUGGGACUGAGACACGGCCCAGACUCCUACGGGAGGCAGCAGUGGGGAAUAUUGCACAAUGGACGCAAGUCUGAUGCAGCAACGCCGCGUGAGGGACGAAGGCCUUCGGGUUGUAAACCUCUUUUAGCAGGGAAGAAGCGAAAGUGACGGUACCUGCAGAAAAAGCACCGGCUAACUACGUGCCAGCAGCCGCGGUAAUACGUAGGGUGCAAGCGUUGUCCGGAAUUAUUGGGCGUAAAGAGCUCGUAGGCGGUUUGUCACGUCUGCUGUGAAAUUUCGAGGCUCAACCUCGAACUUGCAGUGGGUACGGGCAGGCUAGAGUGCAGUAGGGGAGAUGGGAAUUCCUGGUGUAGCGGUGGAAU